CAGCCGCCGCGGGAAUACGAAGGGUGCAAGCGUUAAUCGGAAUUACUGGGCGUAAAGCGUGCGUAGGCGGUUUGUUAAGUCUGUUGUGAAAUCCCCGGGCUCAACCUGGGAAUGGCAAUGGAUACUGGCAAGCUAGAGUGUGUCAGAGGAUGGUGGAAUUCCCGGUGUAGCGGUGAAAUGCGUAGAGAUCGGGAGGAACAUCAGUGGCGAAGGCGGCCAUCUGGGACAACACUGACGCUGAGGCACGAAAGCGUAGGGAGCAAACAGGAUUAGAUACCCCCGUAGUCCCUGUCUCUUAUAC
rnacentral:rRNA from 1 species